rnacentral:lncRNA from 1 species
AUUUUUCUUAGGGAGAAAAAAAAUAUCUCCGCUGUUUCCAAAGAUCUUUGACAGUUAGGAUGGCUUAGCUCAAAGCUUCUCAGUUAGGGAACAUUGACAUAGACAGGCACAAAUGGAUGAAGCUCAUUUUGCCUACACUCCAAGCUGGUUGGAUGUAGGCCAGCUCUGAACUGGAAGCCAGAAAUCAUGUUAGGAUGGAGCUUUGCCCAAGCUAAUAAGAUCUGCUGACGGCAUAUGCUGAAAAGCAAGGAGUAUUAGUUUGGGCAAUGCAUCAUUUUCAUGUAAUUACAAAGCUUCCACCUACUUCAGCUCAAUGGGAUUCCUGGUCCUGUGUACUCAUGUCCAGGUGCCUUCAGAUAAACUAAAGAUGGCCUCGAAGAAAAAAGGAGCACAUUAGAAUUAGCCCAAAGCCCACCGAGAACUUGUGCUGACAUAUUAAAUGUUGGGCAAGACCCAUGGUCAAGGGGACUUAGACUGUUCUCUCCUUAAAAAAAUAUACAGGCUAGGACUUAGGGAAACAUCAGUCUAGAGAUCCCUAUCCAGCAGAUUUUACAUUUUCAGCUCUUGACUAGAACAAGGCUGCAGCAGGCUAGCUAGUCAUCAGGGCAGUCUACCUGUGCAUGGCAGGUGCAUCACAUACAGAGAUAAUGCUGGCAUUUACCAUGUGGACAUAACAGGUGACAGCUCAAGGCUCGUUUGCUCGUCUCCAUUGAAUGAUAACCCAAUACAAAGCCCACAAAGACUUUAACAAGCCUAACACUCUUGAAGCAUAGAUCUGACUGAGAAUGCCAUGUGGCCUUCUACAUGGAAGUGUUUGCUUAAACAUGUUCACUUUCAUGCUUUGUUCAUGCAUUACAAGGAAGGGAGGGAGAAGAAGCUAUUCCAGCUCUGCUGCAUUGGUGGUCACUGGCUCUGAAGAACAUGCUGAACCUGAAAAGAGGACAGGAAAAUGGCUGGGUUAAAAACAAACAAGGAAGCAUCCCCAUCUUCUUCUUCUACAGCAAAGAUUUUUUUAUUUUUUUAUUUUUUUUCUCAAAGUAUUGCUCCUUCUAGAUACUUUCUAACUCCAUCCUAAGUGUUUGAAAGCAACUCUCACUAAAGUUUAUCCUAAUAAUAAACCGUGACGGAAGGAAGUAAUCUUAGUAUUC